rnacentral:rRNA from 1 species
CAUGGAGCUUCAAACCUUCAGCAACUUUUAACUUACAAAUCCUAAUAUCUUAAAAGCUAUGCCUACCGGUUUUGGGUUGGGGUGACCGCGGAGAAAAAAUUAACCUCCAUGACGAACAGAACUAAAUCUUUAUCUAAGAGCUACUACUCUAAGAAUCAGUAAACUGACGUAAAAUGACCCGAUUAUCGAUCAACGAACCAAGUUACCCUGGGGAUAACAGCGCAAUCCACUUUGAGAGCUCAUAUCGACAAGUGGGUUUACGAC